rnacentral:lncRNA from 1 species
AGAAGAAUGCAAAUUCGAAAAUUAAAUAACUCUGAAAAUAAUGUGAAAAGUAUGAUAAAUAGAAGGAUAUAGUGGGUUGCCUCCCACCCAGCGCUAGGUUAUAGUCGAUAGCUCGACUUUACCGUAUUGCGUCAUUCUGGUGGUCUAAGAUGAACGGUAUACUUUUCCUUUGAAAAAUCGCUGCCCCAAUAGUGUUUCAAACACUGUCUAUUGACCUUGAAUGUUCCAUUGCUGUCGUAAGUUAUCUCAACUGCCCCAUUUGGAAAUAUCUAUGUAAUAGUAUAUGGACUACACCAUCUCGAUCGCAACUUUCCUGGGAACAGCUUAAACCUAGAGUUGUAGAGUAGCACUUUUUGCCCCACCUUAAGUUCACGCCCCUGAAUAUGCAUAUCAUGCCACUUCUUGGUGCGUUCUUUGUAGAGUCUUGAAUUCUCGUAGGCCUCCAUUCUGAGCUAGAUCUCAUUAAGUUGUAGUAGACGUUUUUCACCCGCAGCCUUCAAGUCCAAAUUCAAUUUCUUCAUUACCCAAUAAGCAUGGUGUUCUAUCUCAAGAGGUAAGUGGCAUGCCUUCCCAAAAAUCAGUCGAUAUGGUGACAUUCCUAUAGGGGUCUUGAAUGCAGACCUAUAGGCCCAUAAGGUGUCGUCCAAUUUCUUAGACCAAUCUUUUCGUAACGAGCUUACUGUGACUUCGAGUAUUUGCUUCAAUUGCCUAUUAGACACUUUGACCUGUCCACUGGUUUGGGGAUGAUAUGCAGUGGCUACACAAUGUUUAACGCCAUAUUUAGUCAACAACUAUUCAAACUGGCGAUUGCAGAAAUGUUUGGCUUCGACCCACUUCGAUACAUAAUCCACAGCUACCAAUAUGUACUGAUUAGAGAAUGAUGGGGGAAAUGGCCCCAUGAAGUCGAUCCCCCAGAUGUCGAAUAGUUUCACCUCCAGGAUAUUGUUCAAAGGCAUUUCUCCUGGAUAUAUUAUCGGUGCGUUGACAUUGGUCACACCUUUUCACGAAUUCAAAAGCAUCCUUAAACAGCAUAGGCCAGUAAAAACUUGAUUGAAGGAUCUUCGUCGCUGUUUUUGAAGCACCAAAAUGCC